GAUGAACGCUGGCGGCGUGCCUAAUACAUGCAAGUCGAGCGAACGGACGAGAAGCUUGCUUCUCUGAUGUUAGCGGCGGACGGGUGAGUAACACGUGGAUAACCUACCUAUAAGACUGGGAUAACUUCGGGAAACCGGAGCUAAUACCGGAUAAUAUUUUGAACCGCAUGGUUCAAAAGUGAAAGACGGUCUUGCUUUCACUUAUAGAUGGAUCCGCGCUGCAUUAGCUAGUUGGUAAGGUAACGGCUUACCAAGGCAACGAUGCAUAGCCGACCUGAGAGGGUGAACGGCCACACUGGAACUGAGACACGGUCCAGACUCCUACGGGAGGCAGAAGUAGGGAAUCUUCCGCAAUGGGCGAAAGCCUGACGGAGCAACGACGCGUGAGUGAUGAAGGUCUUCGGAUCGUAAAACUCUGUUAUUAGGGAAGAACAUAUGUGUAAGUAACUGUGCACAUCUUGACGGUACCUAAUCAGAAAGCCACGGCUAACUACGUG
rnacentral:rRNA from 1 species